ACGCCAAUAAAGGGAGGGCGGUGCGAACGUGGGUGGUCAAAGUGUAGCAUCAGUUCUUAUCAGCUUAAUAUAUGAUACGGGUUGCAUUAGGACUUCAGAUAUUGAACUUAGUUUAGCAAGUUGGCGGAGUGCUGGGAGCCUGCCGCACCUCUGCCGCUGGUCGCCCGGUAUUGCACUAUCUUCGGGAUCAGCCUAUGUAUG